rnacentral:rRNA from 1 species
GGGAGGUAUAUUUCUUCUAAAGCUAAAUACCGGCCAGAGACCGAUAGCGCACAAGUAGAGUGAUCGAAAGAUGAAAAGCACUUUGAAAAGAGGGUUAAACAGCACGUGAAAUUGUUAAAAGGGAAGCGCUUGUGACCAGACUUGCGUCCGGUGAAUCACCCAGCUCUCGCGGCUGGGGCACUUCGCCGGCUCAGGCCAGCAUCAGCUCGCUGUCGGGGACAAAAGCUUCAGGAACGUAGCUCUCUUCGGGGAGUGUUAUAGCCUGUUGCAUAAUACCCUUCGGCGGGCUGAGGUACGCGCUCCGCAAGGAUGCUGGCAUAAUGGU